UACGUAGGGGGCGAGCGUUGUCCGGAAUGAUUGGGCGUAAAGGGCGCGUAGGCGGCUGUGCAAGUCAGUAGUGGAAGCCCAGCUUUUAAGGUUGGAAGUGCUAUUGAAACUGUGCAGCUUGAGUGCAGGAGAGGUUAUCGGAAUUCCCGGUGUAGCGGUGAAAUGCGUAGAGAUCGGGAGGAACACCAGUGGCGAAGGCGGGUGACUGGACUGCAACUGACGCUGAGGCGCGAAAGUGUGGGGAGCAAACAGGAUUAGAUA
rnacentral:rRNA from 1 species